rnacentral:rRNA from 1 species
CCUACGGGGGGCAGCAGUAGGGAAUCUUUCACAAUGGGCGAAAGCCUGAUGGAGCAACGCCGCGUGCAGGAUGAAGGCCUUCGGGUUGUAAACUGCUUUUAUAAGCGAGAAAUAUGAUGGUAACUUAUGAAUAAGGAUCGGCUAACUACGUGCCAGCAGCCGCGGUCAUACGUAGGAUCCGAGCAUUAUCCGGAGUGACCGGGUGUAAAGAGUUGCGUAGGUGGCAUAAUAAGUAGCUAGUGAAAUCUGGUGGCUCAACCAUUCAGACUAUUAGCUAAACUGUUAAGCUCGAGACCGUUAGGGGUAACUGGAAUUUCUAGUGUAGGAGUGAAAUCCGUAGAUAUUAGAAGGAACACCAAUAGCGUAGGCAGGUUGCUGGGACGGUUCUGACACUAAGGCACGAAAGCGUAGGGAGCAAACGGGAUUAGAUACCCCUGUAGUC